rnacentral:rRNA from 1 species
GCAAAGCGAUUCCCUGAGUAGUGGCGAGCGAAAAGGGAACAGCCCAGCGCACAAUCUCCCGGUCUACCAAGGCCGCGGCGAAAUUUUGCGUAUAGGGAAGGGUCGUUUACAGCCUCGUGCCACCGUCUGAUGUGCCUAACCGUGAUCUGAAAUGUUCACGCACGUUGGGUGCUUUAUCUUUCGGGGUAAACGCUCGAUACACGGUUCCAUGGUGGGUGCAAGCCCCGUAUGGCCGCGUGAGAGUGUGCACUAAGGCUCGGCCUCUUUUUCCCUGAGAGUCGCGUUGUUUGAACAUACAGCGCUAAUCAGGAGGUAAACUCCUCCUAAGGCUAAAUACUUCCACAGCACCGAUAGAAAACAAGUACCGCGAGGGAAAGUUGAAAAGCACUUUGGAGAAAGGGUGACAAGACCGUGAGACCGUCCAGGGCAAAAGCCGGUGUCAAAUAUCCUAGUCGCGCUGGGACUAUGGCCUCAACAGCCAUAAGGCGCGAGCUCGUCUCCGGUUGUGCGAGUCUAAAAGUCCCACACCCCUGGGUGUGUGGCUCUCGUAGGAUCGAUUCGUAAUUACGCUCGUGCCUCUCGGUCCAUCAACAGCCCACCGUGACUCUUGCGAGGUCAUUCGCGGUAGCUGAAGCUUCUGCUCGGUACGUUCGCGAAGGGUCGAGAUUGUCGGAGGUCGUGGUAUCGCGGUAUCCCAAGUAGUUCUCCCGCGAGAGCGAAAGGCACCGCGGUGCGCGUCUGGUACACAUCCGUUGCCUCCAAAAUCGAAGCCUGAACGUACUCGAGUGUUGCGCUAGGCUGCCAACGCGUCUCCGAUCCUCUGCGAGAAGUUAUCCAACGCUCUGUCUGCUCUUCUCGGUCAUACUCGUCUCCAAGCGUUUCAGCGGCUGAAGCGACGAGUGGGCUCUAUAGAGUAGGCUGCAGUAUACGGUGGUAGUCCUAGGUGACGCCGGUCACGUCUCGAAACACGGGCCAAGGAGCAUAGCGUAAAGCCAAGUCCAAAUGUUUCUCGAAACUUUGUGGCGCGAGUGAAAGCGAUCGUACGGCUACACUGCGUAGCCGUAAGUGUGCGCGCUGAGAGUUCCGGGGCAACUCGAAUUUUCGAAGCGCGUUCCGAUCUAGUCAAGGUUGAUCCUCUAGUUCUUCACGAACGAACGGGCGCAAACCUCAGGCCCAUUCAACAGCCAACUUCGGUCGGUCGGAAGGGCACUGCCUAGGCUUUGAGCUAUGACCCGAAAGAUAGUGAACUAUGCUUGGCGAAGACGAAGCCCCAGGAAACUGUGGUGGAAGUCUGUAGCCGUUUUGACGUGCAAAUCAAUGGUGUCAGCUGAGCAUAGGGGCGAAAGACCAAUCGAACUAUCUAGUAGCUGGUUCCAUUCGAAGUUUCUCUCAGGAUAGCUUGCGUGACAUUAACGCUAUGAGUCUGGGCUCUUCGGUACACGAAAGCGUGCUGGUAGUCCGUCCCAUUUUGUCUGCAGUUGUUGAGAGUUGGCGAGCCGAGAACUUUGUCAUCUCACUCUCUAGUCACCAGGGUAGCGUAUCAUUUGGAUCGUGAGCAGUUACGUCUGGUAAAGAGAAUGAGUAGAGUUAGCUCGUUGCUUUMUAUAGCAACAGCAGCGGGGCGUCCUACGCCUCGCACUAUUAUCAAACUUUAAAUGGGCGAGGUACUCGGUAUUUUCUUAAUUGCUUGAUCCGGGGCGAAACACGUUUCGGCUUUACCGUCGAGACGAAGGUGAAUGCGUGCGCGCAAAGUGGGUCCUUUCUGGUAAGCAGAACUGAUAAUGAGGGAUGAACCUAACGCAUGUGCUAAGGGGCCAAAGAGACAGCUAUUUCUCGAAACCAUUGGAAAGGUGUUGCUUGCUGAAGACAGCAGGACGGUGGUCAUGGAAGUCGAUAUCCGCUAAGGAGUGUGUAACUACUCAUCCUGCCGAAGCGAGUAACCCUGAAAAUGGAUGGCUCUAUAGCUCUCUCCCGAUGCACAGCCGUCAGUAGCACUUGAGUCACCUCGUGUCUCUACGCUCUGACGAGUAGAAUGGCUAUGCUGCAUUGCUUCGACGGCUAUCGCGUGAGCGUGGUCUGAGCGUGCAGCAGUACAGAUCUUGGUGGUAGUAGCAAGUACUCUGGUGAAUAACCUUGAGCUGUGAGGUUGAUAAGGGUUCCAUGUCAACAGUGUUUGUACAUGGGUAAGUCGGUCCUAAGCUCCCAUUAUUCUUAAUGGUUAUUGCGAUCGCUCGGAAGUCACGGUGGCAAUGCAGUACUCUCCCACGGUGUCUCUCUCCAGACAACACACUACGUGCCGGUCUGUUGAGCUCUCCCCACCACUCCACCCUCUUGGCAUAUAUCGGCUCGAACUGGUACGGCGAGGCACGGUCAGUCAAACUCUUGCGCGGAGAGAUACUCAGAGAGGGUCUAAGGACGUAAUACGAUGUGUGCUAGCGCGAGCGUGAACGGUAGCGUUUUUCUCUCUGAGAAGUAGGACGCUGCGACAUAGUAACGCUCUCGCGACACACACACCCCGUAGACAAGUUCGUAAUCUCGCUAACGUAUCUCUCGACAACGCACAAGAGAGAGACUCCUCUCGUACUCUAGUAGUGCAGAUACUGCUACUGGUGUUGUUGGUGGCGCGCUCGACUAUYGUAGUGCAAGUAGAGAGGGGCAGCAACCCCCGAGGGUAGACGUGGGCCACUACACGYUUCCGUGUCUCUUGGAGAAAGAGAAUUGCGGACUCAGUUUGUAAAMCACACSUGGUMCCSUGAGASGGUUCACCGUUUCACGSACCUSGCAAUAKCUYCCCASCCCASUCGCUSUCAUAARUAUCUCGGCGGGGAGAUUUCUUCUCUCUUUGAUAUAGAUAYGUGUCSWGAAARCACCUMGAGUGGSGGAAGGUCAACGCUAUMUAGCAGAGUACUCUACUCUCUCGAGUAGAUAAMGAUGCUGCUUGUGAUCCGUGAAAAGGUGGUMGAGGGGAAARUAUGGGACAGCAGCKGGAGAUAGUGUACUCACACGUGUGUGUGCGCCCUCGCGCACACGCUCCUCUGUGUCUCUCUCUCUCUCUCUCUGUCUGUCCCGACACUUUACUCGAGUGUUAGCCAGGGCGUGGCCGUACCCAUAUCCGCAUCCGGUCUCAUA